rnacentral:tRNA from 2 species
GGGGAUAUGGUGGAAUUGGUAGACACGCUAGCUUCAGGUGCUAGUGGUAGCAAUACUGUGAGAGUUCGAGUCUCUCUAUCCCCA